UGGGGAAUAUUGGACAAUGGACCAAAAGUCUGAUCCAGCAAUUCUGUGUGCACGAUGACGUUUUUCGGAAUGUAAAGUGCUUUCAGUUGGGAAGAAAAAAAUGACGGUACCAACAGAAGAAGUGACGGCUAAAUACGUGCCAGCAGCCGCGGUAAUACGUAUGUCACAAGCGUUAUCCGGAUUUAUUGGGCGUAAAGCGCGUCUAGGUGGUUAUGUAAGUCUGAUGUGAAAAUGCAGGGCUCAACUCUGUAUUGCGUUGGAAACUGUGUAACUAGAGUACUGGAGAGGUAAGCGGAACUACAAGUGUAGAGGUGAAAUUCGUAGAUAUUUGUAGGAAUGCCGAUGGGGAAGCCAGCUUACUGGACAGAUACUGACGCUAAAGCGCGAAAGCGUGGGUAGCAAACAGGAUUAGAUACCCUGGUAGUCCACGCCGUAAACGAUGAUUACUAGGUGUUGGGGGUCGAACCUCAGCGCCCAAGCAAACGCGAUAAGUAAUCCGCCUGGGGAGUACGUACGCAAGUAUG
rnacentral:rRNA from 1 species